AGCAGCAGCCGCGGUAAUACAGAGGGUGCAAGCGUUAAUCGGAAUUACUGGGCGUAAAGCGUGCGUAGGCGGUUUGUUAAGUCUGCUGUGAAAUCCCCGGGCUCAACCUGGGAAUGGCAGUGGAUACUGGCAAGCUAGAGUGUGUCAGAGGAUGGUGGAAUUCCCGGUGUAGCGGUGAAAUGCGUAGAGAUCGGGAGGAACAUCAGUGGCGAAGGCGGCCAUCUGGGACAACACUGACGCUGAGGCACGAAAGCGUGGGGAGCAAACAGGAUUAGAUACCCCGGUAGUCCCUGUCUCUUAUAU
rnacentral:rRNA from 1 species